UACGUAGGGUGCGAGCGUUGUCCGGAAUUAUUGGGCGUAAAGGGCUCGUAGGCGGUUUGUCGCGUCGGGAGUGAAAACUCAGGGCUCAACCCUGAGCGUGCUUCCGAUACGGGCAGACUAGAGGUAUGCAGGGGAGAACGGAAUUCCUGGUGUAGCGGUGGAAUGCGCAGAUAUCAGGAGGAACACCGGUGGCGAAGGCGGUUCUCUGGGCAUUACCUGACGCUGAGGAGCGAAAGCAUGGGGAGCAAACAGG
rnacentral:rRNA from 1 species